GGAGAGUUUGAUCCUGGCUCAGGACGAACGCUGGCGGCGUGCUUAACACAUGCAAGUCGAGCGGUAAGGCCCUUCGGGGUACACGAGCGGCGAACGGGUGAGUAACACGUGGGUGAUCUGCCUUGCACUCUGGGAUAAGCCUGGGAAACUGGGUCUAAUACCGGAUAUGAGCCUGAACUGCAUGGUUCGGGUUGGAAAGAUUUAUCGGUGCGAGAUGGGCCCGCGGCCUAUCAGCUUGUUGGUGAGGUAACGGCUCACCAAGGCGACGACGGGUAGCCGGCCUGAGAGGGCGACCGGCCACACUGGGACUGAGACACGGCCCAGACUCCUACGGGAGGCAGCAGUGGGGAAUAUUGCACAAUGGGCGAAAGCCUGAUGCAGCGACGCCGCGUGAGGGAUGACGGCCUUCGGGUUGUAAACCUCUUUCGACAGGGACGAAGCGCAAGUGACGGUACCUGUAGAAGAAGCACCGGCUAACUACGUGCCAGCAGCCGCGGUAAUACGUAGGGUGCGAGCGUUGUCCGGAAUGACUGGGCGUAAAGAGCUUGUAGGCGGUCUGUCACGUCGGUCGUGAAAACUCACAGCUCAACUGUGGGCCUGCGGUCGAUACGGGCAGACUAGAGUACUUCAGGGGAGACUGGAAUUC
rnacentral:rRNA from 1 species